CCUACGGGAGGCAGCAGUGGGGAAUAUUGCACAAUGGGGGAAACCCUGAUGCAGCGACGCCGCGUGAGUGAAGAAGUAUUUCGGUACGUAAAGCUCUAUCAGCAGGGAAGAAAAAACGGCCUUAGGGCCGCCAGACGGUAACUGACUAAGAAGCCCCGGCUAACUACGUGCCAGCAGCCGCGGUAGUACGUAGGGGGCAAGCGUUGUCCGGAUUUAGUGGGUGUAAGGGGAGCGUAGACGGCAGCGCAAGUCUGACGUGAAAUGCCGGGGCCCAACCCCGGAACUGCUUUGGAAACUGUGCAGCUGGAGUGCAGGAGAGGUAAGCGGAAUUCCGAGUGUAGCGGUGAAAUGCGUAGAUAUUAGGAGGAACACCAGUGGCGAAGGCAGAUCACUGGACUGCAACUGACACUGAGGCUCGAAAGUGUGGGUAUCAAACAGGAUUAGAUACCCCAGUAGUC
rnacentral:rRNA from 1 species